UGGGGAAUUUUGGACAAUGGGGGAAACCCUGAUCCAGCCAUCCCGCGUGUGCGAUGAAGGCCUUCGGGUUGUAAAGCACUUUUGGCAGGAAAGAAACGUCGCGGGUUAAUACCCCGCGAAACUGACGGUACCUGCAGAAUAAGCACCGGCUAACUACGUGCCAGCAGCCGCGGUAAUACGUAGGGUGCAAGCGUUAAUCGGAAUUACUGGGCGUAAAGCGUGCGCAGGCGGUUCGGAAAGAAAGAUGUGAAAUCCCAGAGCUUAACUUUGGAACUGCAUUUUUAACUACCGGGCUAGAGUGUGUCAGAGGGAGGUGGAAUUCCGCGUGUAGCAGUGAAAUGCGUAGAUAUGCGGAGGAACACCGAUGGCGAAGGCAGCCUCCUGGGAUAACACUGACGCUCAUGCACGAAAGCGUGGGGAGCAAACAGGAUUAGAUACCCUGGUAGUCCACGCCCUAAACGAUGCCCAACUAGCUGUUGGGGCCUUCGGGGCCUUGGUAGCGCAGCUAACGCGUGAAGUUGACCGCCCUGGGGAGUACGGUCGCAAGAUUAAAACUU
rnacentral:rRNA from 1 species